CUGGGCGUAAAGCGUCGCGUAGGCGGUUUUUUAAGUCGGAUGUGAAAUCCCGGGGCUCAACCCCGGAACUGCAUUUGAUACUGCUUGGCUUGAGUAUGGGAGAGGGAAGCGGAAUUCCUGGUGUAGCGGUGAAAUGCGUAGAUAUCAGGAGGAACACCGGUGGCGAAGGCGGCUUCCUGGACCAAUACUGACGCUGAGGCACGAAAGCGUGGGGAGCAAACAGGAUUAGAUACCCUGGUAGUCCACGCCGUAAACGAUGAACACUAGGUGUAGGGGGUAUUGACCCCUGCUGUGCCGAAGUUAACGCAUUAAGUGCCCCGCCUGGGGAGUACGGUCGCAAGAUUAAAACUCAAAGGAUUGGACGG
rnacentral:rRNA from 1 species